UACGUAGGGUGCGAGCGUUGUCCGGAAUUAUUGGGCGUAAAGGGCUCGUAGGCGGUUUGUCGCGUCGGGAGUGAAAACCUUGGGCUUAACUCAGGGCUUGCUUUCGAUACGGGCAGACUAGAGGUAUGCAGGGGAGAACGGAAUUCCUGGUGUAGCGGUGAAAUGCGCAGAUAUCAGGAAGAACACCAAUGGCGAAGGCAGCUCUCUGGGACGGUACUGACGCUGAGACGCGAAAGCGUGGGGAGCGAACAGG
rnacentral:rRNA from 1 species